AUAUAUACACACACACACACACACACUCAUACAUACAUAUAUAUAUAUAUGCAGUAUGUAUGUAGGUAUGUAUGAGUGUGUGUGUGUAUAU
rnacentral:miRNA from 1 species